UCAAUUUGUUUGACGUUGACCGACUAUUUUGUGGAUCCCGCAAUAUCAACGGCACAGAUCCUCUUGGUCUCUCAUUGAAUGUUGCCAGAUGGAACCAACGUCGUUCGAUUCCUUAAACCCUCCACGCCCGGGAAAAAAGUAAAUCGUCAAGCCGUUGAGCAAAAACCCUAAACCUUGUCAGUUGUUCCGUGGGCACCAGAGAUUUGAGCGGUGCGCUAUAGUUUCUUUCUUGGUGAACACGAAUUCGCAUCUUUUUCUUCUCCAUUAUGCGAAGAUAGCGAAUGGUUCUAACAUUUCAAUUCUGUUCCGGCAUCUUCCUCUUAAUUUAUAAUGAGAAGAUUCAAGAUUCUGCUGGCUAGGCCUGUACCGGCGGCGUUUGAUGUCAUACAUGGCCGAUGGCCGUGGAAUCCGACAAUCACUAGCUGCAUCGGCUUGGUAUUCCUUUCCAGCUGCACCAUCCAUGUUACUCGAACGAUGUACUGUAUUUGUUUUUCGUUCUAAUAUAGAGUUCUACUCCUCCUUGUGAAACCUCUAUUAUUGAUUUCUAACUUUGUUUUUUCUCUAAUUGUUUGGAGAAGCUUUGCAUAGUUUCAGUUUUGUAAUUGGGAAACCUGAUUAUACUGAAAUCAAAGGACUGUUGGUGGGAAAGUGUUAUAUUCAUGCAACAGGAUCUUGUUGCUCUCCGGCAUGAGACUAUUAUGAACCUCUUGGUGUUUCUAAGAAUACCACCAGAGAUGAGAUCAAAAGGGCUUUUUAUGCGGUUAGUAUAAUACUGGCAUUUUGUGUUUCCUUUUUUCAGGUCAGGCAUUUUUCUUUCCAAUUCCAAAUUCUGCCUAUAUGUGAACCUAUAUCACUAAUUUUUUGCUGUAAUUGUUCAAAAAGUGUGCAUACUUUUUAUGCUCUUUACCCUUAUUAUGAGAUUGUUGAAGCUGUGUGUUCUAUUUGAGGUGAUGAUGUGUUGUUUCUUCAAAUCCAUAAUUCUACUUUGAUAAUGCGAGAGCUGAAUUUAGUAAAGAGAGCUGUAGGAACCAUCUAGCAAGUGAUUGGUGGAACUGGAUAUCAGCAUAAAAGAACUGGUAACUGUAAUAAUACUAUAAACAUCUCCACUUUGUUUGAUCCCAGUAAUUGAGGUUGACAUCAUAUAGAUAUGAUCAUGCACUGGGGUCCUAUCCUUAAGAUGACUCUGGAAGGAUAGCUCCCAAGGAGGUCUGGUAUUAUUUUUGGUGCCCUGACAUGGACAUAUUUAAAAGUAGUUUUCGAAGAAUUGGAGAACCUUUUGGAGAAGGGGGUGGGGGGUCAAAUGUAUUUACAUUCAGGAUUAAUAUCGACCCCGUCCUUCCAAACUAUUCCACCUCCAUCAUUCCCCCGCCCCCUUCGACCCCUUUUUUUUCUCCUGAAAAGUUUACAAAGAAAAAAGGAUGGAAGUUGAUGCCAUUUGCUUAUUGUUGUACAGGAAUAAUAGUUAUCAAGUUAUAAUAAUGAAAUCCAUUUGUUUGACUUAGAUAAAUCAAUCCUCACGACGGGCAUUUUUAUUUUGUUUAUUUUCAUGGAAAUAUAUCUCAUAUUAACUUAAGAUACAAUUUCUAGAUCUUUUUUCUGUUGUUUUAUAAUGUAUAUCAACGUCAAAAUGGAGCUUUAAAGUGUAGUCUGCUUCUGUUUGGUGAUUUUCUUGUCUGUUAUUCCAUUACUAAAGAUGUGAGAAUUGAGAAAUUUUGCUUGGAUUAUACUCUGUUCUUGGAAA